rnacentral:rRNA from 1 species
UACGGAGGAUGCGAGCGUUAUCCGGAUUUAUUGGGUUUAAAGGGUGCGCAGGCGGAUAGUUAAGUCAGCGGUGAAAUGUCCGGGCUCAACCGGGGCACUGCCGUUGAUACUGGCUAACUUGAGUGCGAGCGGCGCCGGCGGAAUGUGUCAUGUAGCGGUGAAAUGCAUAGAUAUGACACAGAACACCGAUCGCGAAGGCAGCUGGCGAGUACGGCACUGACGCUGAGGCACGAAAGCGUGGGGAU